rnacentral:lncRNA from 1 species
GCCUUGGUGACCUUGCUUGAGCAGGAGGGUUAGACGAAAGGUCCCCUCCAACCUCAACCUUUUUGGGAUUCUGUGUUAUCAGAGCCCAAGAAGGAUCACCAAAGUUACUGCCUCUGUAAGGCACUCCAAAUCUGCAGCUGGCCCAGAUGACUUAAAUUGAAGCAGAAGACCCAAGAAAUCUGGCUGUGAUUCAGCAGAGAGCACACCAUGGAUUAACUGCUUCUGAAACCACCAAGGAAUGGCCUCUGCUGAAGAGGGAGUUCUGCCACAAAUCACUGAUUCACGGCUGGACACUUGUAACCAAGCACUGACGUCUAAC